CAGCAGCCGCGGGAAUACGUAGGUCCCGAGCGUUGUCCGGAUUUAUUGGGCGUAAAGGGAGCGCAGGCGGUUUAGUAAGUCUGAAGUUAAAGGCAUUGGCUCAACCAAUGUAUGCUUUGGAAACUGUUAGACUUGAGUGCAGAAGGGGAGAGUGGAAUUCCAUGUGUAGCGGUGAAAUGCGUAGAUAUAUGGAGGAACACCGGUGGCGAAAGCGGCUCUCUGGUCUGUCACUGACGCUGAGGCUCGAAAGCGUGGGUAGCGAACAGGAUUAGAUACCCCCGUAGUCCCUGUCUCUUAUACC
rnacentral:rRNA from 1 species